rnacentral:tRNA from 1 species
AGUGGUAUGCCUGACGUAAAAAGGGUCAUCAUGAUAUGAUGGAUAAUGUAUUUUUCCCUACUAUCACUA